rnacentral:lncRNA from 1 species
CGUUUGAGAAGAAAUCUUAUUUGAUAUUUUGUUGUUUGUAUCGGUUGUCUUACAUCAAACAAACAUGACAUCGUAUAUAUAAAACCAGGUUUAAUCAACCAUUUUCUACAUAAGAAAAAUGCCUGUACCAAGUCAAGAAUAUGACAGUUGUUAUCCGUUCAUUUGAUGUCUUUGAGCUUUUGAUUUUGAAUUGGAUUAGUGACUUUCCGUUUUGAAUUUUCCUCAGAGUGCGUUUUUUUUUUAUUUUACCUUUUUCGCAAGGAGAAUG